UUUCUCAUCCUCCAUAAAUUGUUUGUGUCAGAGUCAGAGAACCGUGUCUCUAACAGUCAGAGGUUUUUGUACGACGGCUCCAUCAGUUUGUAUCACUGUGGUACACGUUUGGUGGAGGAACCAGACUGGAUGUUAACUUGGGUGAACGCCGUCCCACCCUGACAGUGCUGCCCCCCUCCAGUGAGGAGCUGCAGCAGGGGAAGGCCACCCUCAUGUGUCUGGCCAACAAGGGCUUCCCCUCAGACUGGAGUCUGUCCUGGAAGGUGGACGACAGCAGCAGCAGCAGCAGCAGCUGGGAGCAGAGCAGGAGCCCCGGGGUGCUGCAGAAGGACGGCCUCUACAGCUGGAGCAGCACCCUGAGGCUCCCUGCAGACCAGUGGAGGAAGGUGGGCUCUGUGACCUGUGAGGCCUCCAAGGGCUCCCAGCCUGCAGUCACACAGACGCUGACCAGAGACCAGUGUUCCCAGUCCUGAGCUCAUUCAGGGAUUUUCUAAAGAUUUAUUCUGCUACAGAUCGCUUGCUUUAAAAACUUUUUAUUGAAUUUUAUCUUCAGAA